GUGAUGCUGAGCACCACGCGACGACGGUAGCCGGCCUGAGAGGGUGGCCGGCCACACUGGGACUGAGACACGGCCCAGACUCCUACGGGAGGCAGCAGUGGGGAAUAUUGCACAAUGGGCGCAAGCCUGAUGCAGCAACGCCGCGUGAGGGACGACGGCCUUCGGGUUGUAAACCUCUUUUAGCAGGGAAGAAGCGAAAGUGACGGUACCUGCAGAAAAAGCACCGGCUAACUACGUGCCAGCAGCCGCGGUAAUACGUAGGGUGCAAGCGUUAUCCGGAAUUAUUGGGCGUAAAGAGCUCGUAGGCGGUUUGUCGCGUCUGCUGUGAAACCCCGAGGCUCAACCUCGGGCCUGCAGUGGGUACGGGCAGACUAGAGUGCGGUAGGGGAGAUUGGAAUUCCUGGUGUAGCGGUGGAAUGCGCAGAUAUCAGGAGGAACACCGAUGGCGAAGGCAGAUCUCUGGGCCGUUACUGACGCUGAGGAGCGAAAGCAUGGGGAGCGAACAGGAUUAGAUACCCUGGUAGUCCAUGCCGUAAACGUUGGGAACUAGAUGUGGGGGCCAUUCCACGGCUUCCGUGUCGCAGCUAACGCAUUAAGUUCCCCGCCUGGGGAGUACGGCCGCAAGGCUAAAACUCAAAGGAAUUGACGGGGGCCCGCACAAGCGGCGGAGCAUGCGGAUUAAUUCGAUGCAACGCGAAGAACCUUACCAAGGCUUGACAUAUACGAGAACGCUGCAGAAAUGUAGAACUCUUUGGACACUCGUAUACAGGUGGUGCAUGGUUGUCGUCAGCUCGUGUCGUGAGAUGUUGGGUUAAGUCCCGCAACGAGCGCAACCCUCGUUCUAUGUUGCCAGCACGUAAUGGUGGGAACUCAUAGGAGACUGCCGGGGUCAACUCGGAGGAAGGUGGGGAUGACGUCAAAUCAUCAUGCCCCUUAUGUCUUGGGCUUCACGCAUGCUACAAUGGCCCGGUACAAAGGGCUGCAAUACCGCAAGUGGAGCGAAUCCCAAAAAGCCCGGUCCUCAGUUCGGAUUGAGGUCUGCAACUCGAACCCUCCAUGAAGUCC
rnacentral:rRNA from 1 species